rnacentral:lncRNA from 1 species
UCUACCUUAGGUUCCUACCUUGGUCUCAAGUGAGCCCCAGCUGGAAGUUCAUACUAAAAUUGACACAAGGGGUGCCUGGUCAUAUCAUGUCCAAUUUCUUAGCAACCAGCCAGUGAGGGCGUGGGUUCAUGAAAAGCAGGUAUGGGAGUAUAAAGGUCAUAAACAGUAUAAAGAAUUACUGGCUGAGGCUCCCAAAGAAGCCAGCAAUCACUCUGAGAAAAAAAGACCUGGAAACCUCAACCUCAGAGAGGACAUGCUCAGUGGGAUACUGGCAUUGCCCAUGCAAAGAAAGUGUUGAAUAUGACUCAAGGAGAAAUAAUAAAGCAAUAUACUUUUAUCUAUGUUGAUAAACAGCUGGAAGAGGCUUUAACCCAAGCAAAAA